GCGAGCGGAGCUGCGAGUUGGGCAGCGCUGCCUGCCGAGCGCCGCGACCGCCGUGUCAGUCGAGCUGGAGGCGGCGGACGCGAAGCACACCAUCGAGGACUCUCUCGCCCCACUCGCGCGCCUAAGCCCCUACUCGGCCUGAUUCCACUCCGACCGGCACACCAGACACUCAGUGGAACGCAAACUGGUUUUCUCUCUUCUCUCGUUUUUUUUUCAUCCUCUCUCUCUCUCUCUCUCUCUCACUCACUCUCCGCCGGUAUGUGGGAGGAUUUUUUACAUUCGCCGUACUCGACGAGCAUUACUCACCAGAGCGGCUAGAAUAUCAACCGGCCCCACUUCUUCAGUCUGCGAGCUGCUCCCUUGCGACUCCAACCUCUGUGAGAAAACUCCGUCUUCAACAAGCCGGACUUAAAAAAAAUCACUCUAGAGUUCGCCAAAAGUGAUGCAGAUUUAAGGUCGAGCAGGAAGAGGGUGAUGGACGAGUACGAGUGCGAGCGACGCGUCCAAAACAUGAAGAUUACGUUGGUCGGCGUCUUCCAGGAAGCAAAGUUUGUUGGAGCACGCAAGCGGGAUUUGGAGCUCUUUGAUCGCGCAAAGUUUUCGGUCAAAGAGCUUAGCCGGUUGUGCGGCGAGCAGCAGAAGAAAGCAAUUAAGCCACAAGACGCGACCUCUGUGCGGCUCUACACCUUGCUGGAGGCAGCGCAAAUUAUAGAUAAUGCGUCUCCAUUGUUGGCUCCGACAACAACUGCCCCGAACGGUGAGUUUCUCUCUGCAAAAACGUUUCAGCUCUGUGCGGUUUUAUUGCCCGAAAUUGGCGCAAUUUCUGCUCCUCUCUGUUUAAUGUGCGUUUCAUUUUUUAUUUUUGUCAGCUCAGCGUUAACUCCCAGAGCAAAAUUACAAUUCGCGAAAGCAGUCCGUUUUAUCUUCUGGACUGUGGAAAAAAAUAUUGAAUUUUCGCUGGUUUUUUACCCGGAUGGCGUCCGUUUCGGCGCGUGCUUUGGCCGCAAGCUCACAGAUAAGUUGCUCUUAUCAAAAAUACACACUUUAUGCGCGCCACUAAAACCACCCUUGAACGCCGCCGAAAUAUUGAAAAGCUGUGCUGGUUGUAAAAUUUUAGACUCUUUCGCUCCACCGGGAAGAGUAGCGUACUAUUUUUAAUGCCGUAUCGCAUGCGAUUGGUGGUGUGGUAUUUUUGGAGAGCGGCGGCGCUCGGUGAAUUAUUGGAUUUUGUCCGGAAAGCCAAUCUGGCGUGCAAGAGCGUCGCUAUUCCGGCUUUAAAAUCAUGACGUAGGAUCUUCUCUCAAUUUCCUCACGUGCUUUUUAAACCUUUUGAUCAAAUAAUUCCAUUUUACAACAAAUUUUAAAUAAAAAAUGAUUUUUUCAAAUGAUGUUUAAAAACCCGUUGAUGUAAUUUACAUAAAAGCAUAAAUUUUCAAUCAGACAUAAUACAAUAUAAGUUUGACCAAAGUUUUUAGCGAAAAUUGUUGGAACGUUCAGGGGAAGCAGAGAAAAUUGUUUACGCCGAGUUUGUCGAAACCCUCUGUUGGAUGCUGUGGGAAAUGUUAUUCAAAUCAAAUUAAUUUAUGUUUGCUUGGAAGUCGAGCAUGAGGCGUGUGGAGGCAAACAUUGAGAGAAAAGUUGUCGCAAAACAAGCCCAAAUAUUUGCUCUUCGGCAUGGAGAAACUCAGAAUAGAUGCGCUUAAAUAUUUCAUCGUCGCGCGCGAGAGAGAAAACUCCGUCUGUGUAUAAUAAAAAUACACAAGAUCGAUCUGACUUGAAUGCUAGUGAAAAAAAAAUUGAAUUUUGAGUUGAAAUUUCAACCACCGUGGUCUAUGGAUGAGGCAAGGGUAGGCAACCGGCCACGCUUGCGAGCGCAUAAGGUUGCAUACGUUCACUUUUCACCCUAUUUUUUCCUCCCACUCUCUUUUCCGCCGCUCUCUCUCGGUCGUUUGAAUUAUUCAGGCGAGGCGAAAUCAGUGAGUCUUUUAGCAGUGAAGCCUGUGAAAUUCGCCUCUGCCUAUUUAAUAUUGGAUGAAGUUGGUUCCGUUCGUUUUCAGCUUUCCACGCGAGCUGUUUGUCAUGUCAUUCGCCUCUCGCUCUCUUAUACAGCCCCAGAAUUAGCAACGCAAACUUUGAAACUUUUAGCCGGCCGGAAUUUGUUGCUGCUCCGAGCAUGUAUAAUAUGCAAGGCAAAAGGAAAAAAAGUUAAAACUGCCGUCGCCCCGGUACACUGUCAAAUUGCACGCGACACGCAAAACUGACAUUACGCGCGCCGGCUGUAUAAAUUUUAAUUUUUUAU